CAGCGCCACGGUAAUACGGAGGGUGCAAGCGUUAAUCGGAAUUACUGGGCGUAAAGCGCACGCAGGCGGUCUGACAAGUCAGAUGUGAAAUCCCCGGGCUUAACCUGGGAACUGCAUUUGAAACUGUCAGGCUGGAGUCUUGUAGAGGGGGGUAGAAUUCCAGGUGUAGCGGUGAAAUGCGUAGAGAUCUGGAGGAAUACCGGUGGCGAAGGCGGCCCCCUGGACAAAGACUGACGCUCAGGUGCGAAAGCGUGGGGAGCAAACAGGAUUAGAUACCCGCGUAGUCCCUGUCUCUUAUACA
rnacentral:rRNA from 1 species